rnacentral:pre_miRNA from 1 species
UUUAUGAGUUUAUGUGUCCAACAUUUGAAUGUUUGUCUUAUUUAAAAUUUUUAUAUGAUUAGUAUUUUUAUUGUUAUUAGAAUAUAAAACACGAAUAUUAUUUAUAAACUUUUUAAAUAAAACGAAUGAUUAAACGUUGAACUCAUAAACUCGUAAAUAAAUUUAUU